rnacentral:rRNA from 1 species
GACGAACGCUGGCAGCGUGCUUAACACAUGCAAGUCGAACGGUAAGGCCCUUCGGGGUACACGAGUGGCGAACGGGUGAGUAACACGUGGGUGAUCUGCCCUGCACUUCGGGAUAAGCCUGGGAAACUGGGUCUAAUACCGGAUAGGACCCUGGGAUGCAUGUCCUGGGGUGGAAAGCUUUUGCGGUGUGGGAUGGGCCCGCGGCCUAUCAGCUUGUUGGUGGGGUGAUGGCCUACCAACGCGACGACGGGUAGCCGGCCUGAGAGGGUGACCGGCCACACUGGGACUGGGAUACGGCCCCGACUCCUACGGGAGGCAGCAGUGGGGAAUAUUGCACAAUGGGCGCAAGCCUGAUGCAGCGACGCCGCGUGAGGGAUGACGGCCUUCGGGUUGUAAACCUCUUUCAGCACCGACGAAGCGCAAGUGACGGUAGGUGCAGAAGAAGGACCGGCCAACUACGUGCCAGCCGCCGCGGUAA